GACACUAAGCACUAUUUAGAAAGACACUUUUAGAAUUCUGGAAAAUGUUAUACAUUACAAAAUCUAUACUUUUUGCACUGAGGAUUUGUUUCAGGGGAAGAUUUCAGAGUGGCAAACUCUGGUGACUAAACAAAGAGUUAGAACCAUAACUUUGGACAUCAUACUUUGAAAACAAAGCAAAAAACCCCAACCCAACUUUACAAAGUUUACAUUAAAAAAUCCUUACAAGGUUUUUUUUUCUCAGUCUGUUUUUAAAAGCUUUAAAAUAAAAGACUCUCCCAAAUAAUUCCCUUUUCACAUCUUCAAAUUUCUUCCAUUUAUAUUUUUCAUUGUCCCUUUCCAGUGCAGCUUAACUCUGAGUGUGCUGAAGCUUGAAAUGUAGCUUCCGAUUUAUAAUAGCAACAGGGCAUGCAGCAAAUGUCAACAAAUCCCCCGUCACCCAGGCAAGGAGGAAAUGUGAGAGGAGAAACUACAACUCUGUCUGAAAAAAAAUGAAGAGAAAGCUGUUGUAUAGAAGACCAUCCAACAGAGUAACAGACUUCUGAAUUUGAUAGGGUGCUUAGAUAGUGAUGAGAAGAGCAGGAACUUGAAGAAAAUAAGAAAGGAAGGCAAGAAUGAAGAGAGAUGGAAGCAGAAGAACAGUCUAGUCAAUAUAAAUUUAAACAGAGAAGAAAAUGAGACUAAAGAGGAUCAGAGAAAGGUGAAGGAGUUACUUUCAGAGCAAUUUCCUAGCACUGAGAGGAGAUAGCAGGACACGAUGGAGCUCUAAGAGACUAUUUUAGACCAGAAAGGUCAUGUUUUAGUUGCCAGGAAUUUGUUCUCAGUUACUCUGAUCUGUAUAAUGUACUGUCCCAUUUCUUGGAGACACACCAAAGGAUUCCAGACUAUCAGCAGCUACCUGAUCUGCAAUGCUGGAGAGAUGAGAAAUUCAUUAACAAUUUUGCAAGGUGGAUGAGACAAAAUGUUUUCCAAGUAGUGCUUGUAUGAUUUUCAGUGACAUUUAUGCGUAUCACAAGUCUGCUUUCUUUUUCAACUGUACUGAAUCCAGUAAAGGUGAAAAAAAGGGAAUCAGUCCAAAUAAACAUAGUCCUUCCAUA